ACAUCUCUUGGAGUUCUAGCUCACCUUUCUGAUGUUGUUCUUGUACUCAUCUGUUUAAUCUAGUUCUGCCACUUCUUCUUGAACUUCUUGUUAGAUUUCAAGUCUGUAUUUUGUGUCAGUGACAAUAUGUUGUAUUCUAUAAGAUGUCUAUUAUUGAACUUUAAAAGUAUAAAAUCAAAGUUACAACCACAAAACUAUGAUUAACGUGAAAGAAAUACAUUCUUACUUUUUUACUAUAGUUAUUUGUGUUAGGGACAUAGUCCUUAGACCUUUCUAGAGACAAGUUUCUAGAACCUUCUAAAAAGAAGUCUCUAGAAACUUCCAGAAGAUUCCUUGAAUAUUCUCUUAGAAUAUUCUUCAAAGAUUCCCUAAAGAUUCUUUGAAGAUUCCCUAAAGAUUUCUUUAGAAGGCCC
rnacentral:lncRNA from 1 species